UUGGAAACGACUGCUAAUACCGCAUAAUGUCUACGGACCAAAGGGGGCUUCGGCUCUCGCCUUUAGAUUGGCCCAAGUGGGAUUAGCUAGUUGGUGAGGUAAUGGCUCACCAAGGCGACGAUCCCUAGCUGGUUUGAGAGGAUGAUCAGCCACACUGGGACUGAGACACGGCCCAGACUCCUACGGGAGGCAGCAGUGGGGAAUAUUGCACAAUGGGCGCAAGCCUGAUGCAGCCAUGCCGCGUGUGUGAAGAAGGCCUUCGGGUUGUAAAGCACUUUCAGUCAGGAGGAAAGGUUAACAGUUAAUACCCGUUAGCUGUGACGUUACUGACAGAAGAAGCACCGGCUAACUCCGUGCCAGCAGCCGCGGUAAUACGGAGGGUGCGAGCGUUAAUCGGAAUUACUGGGCGUAAAGCGUACGCAGGCGGUUUGUUAAGCGAGAUGUGAAAGCCCCGGGCUCAACCUGGGAACUGCAUUUCGAACUGGCAAACUAGAGUGUGAUAGAGGGUGGUAGAAUUUCAGGUGUAGCGGUGAAAUGCGUAGAGAUCUGAAGGAAUACCGAUGGCGAAGGCAGCCACCUGGGUCAACACUGACGCUCAUGUACGAAAGCGUGGGGAGCAAACGGGAUUAGAUACCCCGGUAGUCCACGCCGUAAACGAUGUCUACUAGAAGCUCGGAGCCUCGGUUCUGUUUUUCAAAGCUAACGCAUUAAGUAGACCGCCUGGGGAGUACGGCCGCAAGGUUAAAACUCAAAUGAAUUGACGGGGGCCCGCACAAGCGGUGGAGCAUGUGGUUUAAUUC
rnacentral:rRNA from 1 species